rnacentral:rRNA from 1 species
GACGAACGCGGCGGCGUGCCUAAUACAUGCAAGUAGAACGCUGAAGGAGGAGCUUGCUCUUCUGGAUGAGUUGCGAACGGGUGAGUAACGCGUAGGUAACCUGCCUGGUAGCGGGGGAUAACUAUUGGAAACGAUAGCUAAUACCGCAUAACAGUAGAUGUUGCAUGACAUUUGCUUAAAAGGUGCAAUUGCAUCACUACCAGAUGGACCUGCGUUGUAUUAGCUAGUUGGUGGGGUAACGGCUCACCAAGGCGACGAUACAUAGCCGACCUGAGAGGGUGAUCGGCCACACUGGGACUGAGACACGGCCCAGACUCCUACGGGAGGCAGCAGUAGGGAAUCUUCGGCAAUGGACGGAAGUCUGACCGAGCAACGCCGCGUGAGUGAAGAAGGUUUUCGGAUCGUAAAGCUCUGUUGUAAGAGAAGAACGAGUGUGAGAGUGGAAAGUUCACACUGUGACGUAUCUACCAGA